CUGUAUUUUCAUUCUAGAAUACAAGAACUCAGAAAAUAUUAUUUACUUUCAUUUAAAAUUAUAAUCAAGGGUGUAUUUUGUGAAAGACCAGAAAGUGUUGGGAAAACUCCUCACUGAGACACGGUCCCCCUCCCACCAGUGACACUGUUUCCUGUCACCAGCACAGAGAAGCACCCAGACCAGAGCAGAGCACAGACUUCUCACUCUGAAGGAGAACUGUCAGCAUGACGCCUGCUGCCUUGCUGUGGGCAGCCAUGGUCUCUGCCUGUCUGGGAUCCAGCAUGGCCCAGACAGUCACUCAGCCUCAACCAGAAAUGUCUGUGCAGGAGACAGAGACUGUGACCCUGGCCUGCUCCUAUGACACCAGUGACAGUAAUUAUUAUUUGUUCUGGUACAAACAGCCUCCCAGUGGGGAGAUGAUUCUCAUUAUCCGCCAGGACGCUUAUAAGAAACAAAAUGCAACGAAUAAUCGCUUUUCUGCGAACUUCCAGAAAGCAAGUAAACACUUUGGCCUCAGGAUCUCAGACUCCCAGCUGGAGGAUGCAGCGAUGUAUUUCUGUGCUUUCAGUGGGGGCACAGUGAGAUGA